GGCAGGUCAGAUAGGUACUCAAAUUCUAAACAUUGAGUUCAAAGUCGGCCAAGAUAGAACACAUGAGACCAGUUAGGUUCGAACUGCAAAACCUCUAUUCGGCGGUUCGAAUCCGCCCGUCGCCUCCA
rnacentral:tRNA from 1 species